UACAAUGCACGCUCCAGAAAGAAGGCGUAAGGUACGAUGUCACUGAUGGCGCCCUGGCUGCGACUGACCAGUUUGGUGAUCUCAUCAAAUGGCCGCAGAAGUCUGCAUGCGUCGCUUAUGAGCAGCUACUGGAGUGGUGAAAAGAAGCCAAGCUCCCCAGAACCUGUCCUGCUGCAGAGGUCGUACAGGUAGUCGUUAAUAGCACGUUGCUGCUGGAGCAGCCUAUCAAGCAUAUACAAGGGUGCCAAGAGCCAC